GGGACUGUCCGUGCGGCACGCACAGCGCCAGGGCAAUGCACAGCGCCAGGCACAGCACAGCUUCAGCGCAGCCUGGCCAGGAAGGGAAUGCUCCCAUGGAGUGCAGGAGUCAGCUGGUUGGAUUCCCAGUCCUGUGCUGAGCUGGCAGGGCACAGAGCCUCCUCAAGCACCGCUGCCUCCUCUCCAGGCUUCCUGCACUUCCUUUGCUGACAGGGUCCCAUCAGCCCGGCUGGGGGCAGGCUCAGCUGAUGGUACAAAGCACUGCUGUCCAAAAGCAAAAAAGACAAAAGGCAAACCAGAAAGGAGCUAUACAUUGCCAAGCUGAAUUCCUCACAGGUAGAGGCAGGAUUCCUCUGGUUCCCAGAAAGGUGCAGAAACAGGACACAAGGACAGUAUGUGCCCCUUAUCUUCAUGUCCAGGACCUUGCUACUGCAGGCCAGCGUAGCUCACCAUCAUAUUCACCCCUUUACCCAGGUGUCUUUAGCUUGCUGCGAUUUUCCCCUGAGAGCAGUCUGAGAAUGCUGCUUGCUGUCACAGGGCUUUGUUCCUUCCAGGAAAUUCCACACACUCACUCAACUUUGUCCUUUCUAAGAGAUGGCCCGGGUUAACUCCCAAGAGGAUAAGCAUUGUAAGCCGUUCCUCAGCAAAUGCCAAUCUCCCUAAGAAAUGCUGAUUCCAGUGGGAUUUAGGCCCAAGUGUUGUUCUCAAGAGCACUGAAGUUCAAGGUUUCAGCAGCAAGACAAGAGCAGGCAGCUUGGCCGGCCUCCACCAUCUCCAGCACUCACCUGCCUUGCAAAUUCCUCUGCUUCCUCCAGCCAUUGGCUGAACUCCUGUUCUUGACCUGCGGCCUUCUCCUGUUACCCGUGAGGCUGGCACCUGAGGCGUGUUAUGAGGAGGUCUAGAACCAAAUGACGGAGAAGAAUUCCACAGAACCUGCACUUUGGAUCUUUUGCUCCGUUUGGUGCUUGCAAGUGUCCCCAGGAGACGUGGAGUUUGCGGUUCAUUGAGCUACGUGGCACAGAAAAGGAAAGACUCAGUUAGCUGAGGAAAACCAAUUUACUCAGCACCUGCCGGCCAGAAAUGAGUCCAGCAAAUGACAGAAAAAUGCAGUACUAUGCAGCACAUAUGGGCAUGACAGAGACUUGAAACACACAUCCAUGGAGGAGUGUGACCUUGCAGGUUUCCCACAAGCCAAAAGGAGUGGCUUUUUGCAAAGGCACCAGGAGCUCAGUGUUGGACAGAGAACUUUUUCAAGGGCAGGGCUGACUUGGGAGCUGGUGGAAGCAGAGAGAACAGGCAAAUGCGCCCAUGGGUGUGUAGCAGCCACAGGGCCUGCAAGGCCUCCCUGGUGGUCAGUUGCCUAAGAGAAGAAGUGCCUCGUCAUGAUGACUGCACCAAAGAAGCCCCUCUUCUGCCUUCCAUCCCUUGCUAUCUCUCUGUAUGACUCUGAUAGGUCAUACUUGCCUCGACCCUUGCUAUUGGACUGUUUCCCAAACCCCCGAAACCCUAGAUAAACCCUAUUUCUGUGCUGUUGAGCAGAAGAGCUGUCACUGUGACCCUUCGCAGAAGCUGCCAAUAAAGACACCUCUGUGCAACCUCACACAGCACUUCUCUCUCUCUCUCCCCCUGCAUCUGCCGAGGCAUUUAGUAAGCAAAGACCUGCAAUCACUAAAGAGCUGAAUUCACCAAAGAGUUGAUCUCACUUAAGAGCUGAGCUGCCUGCUAAGGUUGCCUGUGGCUGGGAGCCUUCCUGAGGGACCCGGACAGGUUGUGCUUAGCAAGACUUCGCUAUCCGGACACCUACAGCAGCUGGGGUCGAGGAUACCCUGAAAACCCCUGCCAUGAUAGAAACGGGUGCACCCACACUGUGAGGGCUGCUCCAAGGGCACCCCCUGCCAUGCACAGGACAUGGGCACUGCCCCGUGCAGAGGACGUGUCCCUGCCAUAUUGACAACACAAACGCUGCUCCAGUGUCAUGCAAACACAUAUGGGUGGUUUGUUAGUCAGCCUUUUUUCCUCACUAAAAAAUCAUUCUUCCUUCAAUGAAUCCUAUGAUGUGCUGCUUGAUGUUAUCUAUGCAGGCAAUGGGUGGGAAUGACAGGCAUUCCAAUUUAGGGAACUAGUUUUACUCAGAAGCAUUGGUGGCCAAAGUACAGGAUGUAUGCGCUUGAUGCCUGUUCUGCGUUACUCUCGGAUCCUUUGAGCUAAGGGUUAUGUGCUACAAGUAGGUUUUGCACUGCUUUGGGACAGUGUGCGCCCUGUCAAAGGAGUUCUUUUUAUUGCCUGAUGUUGUAAAGUCUAUGGACUAAUGCAGGCAUCCUUCUUUUCCCCCCUGCGAUUGUAGGGUUUGCAGACAUAUGCAGGUGUGCUUUAUUUUUGCCUUCUUCUUUUACAAUUGGCCAAUUGCUGUGGGUGUCCCCUUUUCCUUGUGCAAGUGGUUUCUUGUUCCAUUUUUGUUUCCUGGCCUGCAGACUCGAGCAGCACUGAUCAAAUGAUGGACUGAAGCCACAGAGCAGUUGUCAAGACUUUCUUGCUGGUGUCAUCCCACAAAGUUUUUAAUGGUCCAAUGGGCUGGAGCAGCAUUGCUCAAAUGAUGAAGCGAGUCCAUAGAGGAGUGAGCAGCGCUUUCCCCGGACCAAGCUCUGCCACUCGACAGAGCAGCCACCCAGCCCGAGCCGCCGGUGCCCCGUUCAGAUGGGGAUGCCCGGCAUGGGGCGCUUGGUGGGCCAUGGUGGGGAGGUCAGGGAUGAUCAUUCUGUUUAAAGCUCUCCAUUAAAGCUCUGGAGACAGGCAUUAGUUUGACCAAAGUCUCUUCCAUUUUGACAGAGACUAGAUUGUAAAUUUUCCAUUUUGUCUGGUCCCAGAAAUCAAAGGUAAAAGCAGAUUUCAAGUUUAUAUUUUGAGUAUUCACUUUUACGCCGAUUAACAAGACUUUUAGUUCAGGUUUUGAGAUGUAUCAACGACCUUUGUCCUGUAAAAUUGUCUCAAACUGGUAAAAGAUUCCCAUUCUGCUUUAGAUAGAUUGUUUCCCAUCUCAUUGCCCAGGAGCCCCUGAAGUUGCUACUUAUUAUUUACAAGGAUAUCAGCUACAGACAACAAAGGGGAUGAUCCCUUCCCUCUUUUAACAGCCUCGGCCUCCGGCAAUGGCACUGUCCACGGUCUUCUUUUCUAUUUUUAGGCUUCUCUAGACUAGAAAUCCUCCUCACUGAGAAGCAGCUUUCCCAAAACUCUCUGAUUUUAAGUAUUCCCACAAUAUGCUACAUAGUAUAUAUUUUAAUAUAUAGAGUAUAAUCAACAGAAUAUAUAAAAUAUAUGCUUGAUCUUUUUCUAAGCCAGCAGGCCUUGGCAGCAAGUUCUGAGCCAACGUGUGGCUCUGCUGCCAUCCCAAAUCUGCGCUUCCCUUGCCCAGCCUGAGUGCAGGUGGGGCAUGUGCUGGGCAUGGCCGGGGAUUUCCAUGGCCCAAAUCCUGCAGCAUUUCCAUCUGCUCCUGGCUUUGGGCAGCACAAAUUACAAGAGACCCAUCUCAGUUGACAAAUGGCAUUUCUUGAAAAUUCCUACACCAGCAGUGACAUUGUAUAAGAUCUGACUAUAGAUCUCAGUUAAAGUUAAAAAAAGACGUUUAUUUGGUUGUUCCACCACACUAUUUAAAAACCUACAAAUAUCAAUUCCUGUUAACAAAAACUAAUUCAUUGCAAACCUCUACAAAUACUCACUAUACACAAAGAUCAAUGGAAAAUUAACAACUUAUUUAUUGCAUAUUACGACAAGCACACAGACCAUAUAUAAAUACAAAAUAUAUCAGUAUCUCUAAUACCCAAAACUCAACAAAUAGAAUUACACAACUAUACAACUCCAUACACAUUUAAAUAGAACUGAAUACAUAUAUAACCACCACAAUAUACAGAUGUGAAUAUUGAUUCAAUGAUACACACUACAUUCAAGAAACAGAUACAUAAAACAAACCCAUCAGUUUUAGCAGUACCAAUCUAAAUAUCUGUACAACUGCAUCAAUACAAAUAUGCAGCUAUACAUCUGGAUAUAUAUGUAAAUAUAAUAUAUUUAGAAAUAGAUCAAUAUCCAUCUAAAAAUAUAAAACCAAACAUAUAUACUGAUACAAAUACCAAUGUACUUGUUUUAAAAGGCAUAUACCAAAAACUACAAUAAAAACCAAUACAAAUAGAUACCUACACAACUGUAUACAUAUGGAAAUCCAAACAGAGAUAUUACAAUAUACAUGAAGAACUAGAUACAUAUGCACACAAAUAUGUAACUGCAAACCUGUAUGUAUGCAGGUAUCUAUAUGUACAUAAAUACAUAAUACAUUCAUAAAUAUAAUACCACGUGGACAGAAAUGUGCCUGUACAAAUAGCAGGCUACAUAUGUAUAAUCCAUAUAAUAAUCCCUGUCCACGUGCAUGGACAGAUUUAAACAGAACAGUUUGUAACACACUGGUAUCUUUGAGCUGUUGUGAGGGGGUUCAAGCUUAUCUUGGACUCUCCAUUCCUCAGGGCUUAUUUUCAAAUAAACGAGAGCCUUUUUCAUUUUUCCUCGAAA